UACGUAGGGGGCAAGCGUUGUCCGGAAUCAUUGGGCGUAAAGAGCGCGUAGGCGGCCCGAUAAGUCCGCUGUGAAAGUCAAGGGCUCAACCCUUGAAUGCCGGUGGAUACUGUCGGGCUAGAGUCCGGAAGAGGCGAGUGGAAUUCCUGGUGUAGCGGUGAAAUGCGCAGAUAUCAGGAAGAACACCCGUGGCGAAGGCGGUUCUCUGGGACGGUACUGACGCUGAGACGCGAAAGCGUGGGGAGCGAACAGG
rnacentral:rRNA from 1 species